AUGGCCGCCGUCCAGGUACAAGCCGCAACCCACGCGAUGCCCGUCGAGGAGGCUCCGGCUCCGGCGCCGGCGGUGGUGGAGGCUGUCGAGCCGGCCGUCGUCGCGGUUGAGGAAACUACGGUGGCGGUGGAGGCUGUCGAGCCGGCCGUCGUCGCGGUUGAGGAGACUACGGUGGCAGCGGUGGAGAUUGUCGAGCCGGCUGUCGCCACGGUCGAGGUGGCAGCGGUUGAGGCUGUCGAGCCGGCCGUUGUCGCUGCCGAGGAGGCCGCGAAGGAGGAGGCUGCUGCACCGGCCGUGACCGAGCUGGCGAAAGAGCCUGAGGCAGUUCCAGCGGAGACCAACAGGCUAAUCAGAGUGUCUUUUUGUUUUCCAUACGAUCCUUGA
rnacentral:rRNA from 1 species